rnacentral:rRNA from 1 species
GAUGAACGCUAGCUACAGGCUUAACACAUGCAAGUCGAGGGGUAACGAGAGGAAAGCUUGCUUUCCUUGUCGACGACCGGCGCACGGGUGAGUAACGCGUAUCCAACCUGCCCCCAACUAGGGAAUAACCUUGCGAAAGUAAGACUAAUACCCUAUAAUUUCCUCAGAUGUCAUCUGACGAGGAAUAAAGAUUUAUCGGUUGUGGAUGGGGAUGCGUCUGAUUAGCUUGUUGGCGGGGUAACGGCCCACCAAGGCAACGAUCAGUAGGGGUUCUGAGAGGAAGGUCCCCCACAGUGGAACUGGGACACGGUCCAAACUCCUACGGGAGGCAGCAGUGAGGAAUAUUGGUCAAUGGGCGGAAGCCUGAACCAGCCAAGUAGCGUGCAGGAUGACGGCCCUAUGGGUUGUAAACUGCUUUUAUAAGGGAAUAAAGUGAGUCUCGUGAGACUUUUUGCAUGUACCUUAUGAAUAAGGACCGGCUAAUUCCGUGCCAGCAGCCGCCGUAA